CCAGACUCCUACGGGAGGCAGCAGUGAGGAAUAUUGGUCAAUGGGCGGGAGCCUGAACCAGCCAAGUCGCGUGAGGGAAGACGGUCCUACGGAUUGUAAACCUCUUUUGCCGGGGAGCAACGGGGUCCUUGCGAGGGCCCGAUGAGAGUACCCGGAGAAAAAGCAUCGGCUAACUCCGUGCCAGCAGCCGCGGUAAUACGGAGGAUGCGAGCGUUAUCCGGAUUUAUUGGGUUUAAAGGGUGCGUAGGCGGAGUGUCAAGUCAGCGGUAAAAUUUCGGGGCUCAACCCCGUCGUGCCGUUGAAACUGACGCCCUUGAGUGAGUGAGAAGUAAGCGGAAUGCGUGGUGUAGCGGUGAAAUGCAUAGAUAUCACGCAGAACGCCGAUUGCGAAGGCAGCUUACCGGCGCUCAACUGACGCUGAGGCACGAAAGUGCGGGUAUCGAACAGGAUUAGAUACCCCCGUA
rnacentral:rRNA from 1 species